rnacentral:rRNA from 1 species
AGCGAACGCUGGCGGCAGGCCUAACACAUGCAAGUCGAGCGCCGUAGCAAUACGGAGCGGCAGACGGGAGAGUAACACGUGGGAACGUACCCUUUGGUUCGGAACAACCCAGGGAAACUUGGGCUAAUACCGGAUAAGCCCUCACGGGGAAAGAUUCAUCGCCGAAGGAUCGGCUCGCGUCUGAUUAGCUAGUUGGUGGGGUAAUGGCCCACCAAGGCGACGAUCAGUAGCUGGUCUGAGAGGAUGAUCAGCCUCACUGGGACUGAGACACGGCCCAGACUCCUACGGGAGGCAGCAGUGGGGAAUAUUGGACAAUGGGCGCAAGCCUGAUCCAGCCAUGCCGCGUGGGUGAUGAAGGCCCUAGGGUUGUAAAGCCCUUUCGGCGGGGAAGAUAAUGACGGUACCCGCAGAAGAAGCCCCGGCUAACUUCGUGCCAGCAGCCGCAGUAAAAC